UAGGGAAUCUUCCGCAAUGGGCGAAAGCCUGACGGAGCAACGCCGCGUGAGUGAUGAAGGUCUUCGGAUCGUAAAACUCUGUUAUUAGGGAAGAACAUACGUGUAAGUAACUGUGCACGUCUUGACGGUACCUAAUCAGAAAGCCACGGCUAACUACGUGCCAGCAGCUGCGGUAAUAUGUAGGUGGCAAGCGUUAUCCGGAAUUAUUGGGCAUAAAGCGCGCGUAGGCGGUUUUUUAAGUCUGAUGUGAAAGCCCACGGCUCAACCGUGGAGGGUCAUUGGAAACUGGAAAACUUGAGUGCAGAAGAGGAAAGUGGAAUUCCAUGUGUAGCGGUGAAAUGCGCAGAGAUAUGGAGGAACACCAGUGGCGAAGGCGACUUUCUGGUCUGUAACUGACGCUGAUGUGCGAAAGCGUGGGGAUCAAACAGG
rnacentral:rRNA from 1 species